rnacentral:rRNA from 1 species
UUUGUCUUUUAAUUGAGGACUGGAAUGAAAGGUUAGACUAAAUAUUUUUGUCUUAUGCUGAGACUACGAAAUUUAUAAUUUAGUAAAAAAGCUAAAAUUUUUCUUAAAGACGAGAAGACCCUAUCAAGCUUUACAAUUUUAUUUUAAUAUCAAAUUAUGAGAAAAAUUGUUUAACUGGGGCAGUGAACAAGAUAAAUCUUGUUUAGAAAUUAUGAAUUAUAAAUCUUGAAAAAUCAAUAAAUUUUUAAACAAAAAUAAGUUACUGUAGGGAUAACAGCAUAAUUUUUUUAAAGAGUCCUCAUCAUCAAAAAAUAUUGUGACCUCGAUGUUGGAUUAAGAGACCUCCCCCACGCAAUAGUAGGAAAAGGAAGUCUGUUCGACUUUUAAUCUCUUCCA